GCCGUGUUGGCUCAAUGGUAGAGCGUCGCCCUCCUACAAGUCACAUGAUUUGUUUAGGCGAAGGCUGCGGGUUCGAGUCCCGUGCUCGGUA